CGACCAGCAGAUCAGAGGAGACGGACCUCCAGACCCUCAAUCACCGCUGAGCCGCCCUGCUUUCAUGUGAGACGUUAAAGCGCACAAUAGAACCCGCCGACGAUAACGACCAGAUAACGAUCGGGGGGCUGAAGCGCUCGUCACGGCGGGGUCAGGAGGUGAUGUCCUGAUCGCUGUGAUGACGUUUUAUUCGGGAGGGGGGGGCAGCUGUUUCCUGCUUCAGCACUACGCCGAGGGAAACAACCGUGCUGGAGGUGGCAGGACAGGUUUGCGGAGCCCCGGGGGCCUUCGGCUGCUGGUCCCUCCUCACUUGGCCCCCGCAGCCCUGCUGCUGCACAUCAACCAUGCAAGUCUGCGGCGAUCAACACCGAUGAAGAGUCAUCAUCGUCUUCCUCAGCAGAUGAGGAUUGCUUCACUCCGUUUUCUCUUCCUGCUGACUCGUCUGUGAUGAAAUCCCUCUUUCGCAAACGCUCCAUGUGCUCAGGUUAUGAAACGCAGGUUGUAAAAGUCCUCUGAAGCCUGAAAUAAAGACA
ensembl:lncRNA